rnacentral:rRNA from 1 species
GAUGAACGCUGGCGGCGUGCUUAACACAUGCAAGUCGAACGAAGCACUUUAUUUGAUUUCCUUCGGGACUGAUUAUUUUGUGACUGAGUGGCGGACGGGUGAGUAACGCGUGGGUAACCUGCCUUGUACAGGGGGAUAACAGUUGGAAACGGCUGCUAAUACCGCAUAAGCGCACAGCAUCGCAUGAUGCAGUGUGAAAAACUCCGGUGGUAUAAGAUGGACCCGCGUUGGAUUAGCUAGUUGGUGAGGUAACGGCCCACCAAGGCGACGAUCCAUAGCCGACCUGAGAGGGUGACCGGCCACAGUGGGACUGAGACACGGCCCAAACUCCUACGGGAGGCAGCAGUGGGGAAUAUUGCACAAUGAGCGAAAGCCUGAUGCAGCGACGCCGCGUGAGCGAAGAAGUAUUUCGGUAUGUAAAGCUCUAUCAGCAGGGAAGAUAAUGACGGUACCUGAAUAAGAAGCACCGGCUAAAUACGUG